CUGUCAACCUGACAGCUGAAGAGAUCUCACUCAAAGCAUUGGACCAGUUGACGAGCUUGAAUCAGAUAAGUUGGAUGAAAAUACGAGGAGAGUUAUUUUGAUUAUUUGUCUGCUUAUAUGUCUAGCAAUUCCCUGUUGAUGUUAGAAGAUGAGGGUAUUUCAUGGUUACUGUGCCUGAAAGAUAACAUAGAUUGGAUCAUUGAAAAUCAUAGCGAGAGUCCGGUGACUCAACAGAAGCAAGAUACCAGCAUGCUCUGUACAGGAGAGCCGCUGCAUGGCUACUUCUGCAGCUGCAACAAAGGAGACACCGCAUACGGGUACAUCCCAUCAACAGGAAAAGGAAGGAACACGGAGCAUUUCACAACCUAGUGCAAGAAAUCAACCGUCACAGGGCAGCUUUCUUAAACUACUUCCGUAUAAGUGCUAGCCAGAUGGAGACACUGCUAUUCUUUGUUGGGGAGGAUUUAAGAAGACAGACAACAACAUUCAGGGAGCCUUUCAAGCCUAAACAACGGCUUGCUGUUGCUCUGGCAUGUGCUAUAUCUUUUUCAUUAGGACACCCACUGGUCAACAAUUAAGUAGUUGCCAUUUCUUGAAACAGUCAGUAAAAUGUGCCCUCUUUUUGAGAACACAGAAAGGCACAGUAUAAUCAUCUUAUAACACUUCUUGAAACAUCAGUAAAAUGUUAAUAAAUCCUUUCCAUCCUCCAUUACUCACCUCUCAAAAUCAACGUGUUAAACACUUAAACCAUCCGGCAUAUGCUAUAUAUUUUUCAUUAGGCUACCCAGUGGUUAACACUUAAAGUAACUGUAAUUUCUUGAAACAGUCAAUAACACGUAAACAAAGAGCCCUCUUUGAGAGAACACAGAAAGGCACAGUAUAAUCAUCGUUAUAGUUCUUGAAACAUCAGUAAAAUGUAAGCAAAUACUUUCCAAAUUACGAUAUUAACAAUGAAAGAAAUAAAAAGAAUAAAAAUUUUGGGUUACUCAGGGUUACUUGGCCAAGAAUAGGGGGUUGGAUGGUGGUGAGGGUAUGGUAGUUGUUGGUUGCUGGGGCCAUAUCGCUGUGAGGAGGCAGUAGAGAGCGCCAUCUGUUGUUCCUCCCAGUUUACAAUAGGGGUUAACAGCUGUAUUUUAAGCUGUCCUUUAUCAGUUACAAUGUUUUUGAGCUGAGGUGCCAAGCUCAUCAAAAAGCUUUUGUCCUCGUCAUCUUUUGGUAUUGAACUCCUUAGGAUGGCAAAUAGCUCACUUAUUGUUGGAUUAAUGGCUGGUGUAGAUGUAUGUCUCUUCCUGCUCAGACUGAAGUAGUCAGAGGAAGUGAUGCUUGUGUCAGAGUUUUGAUGUCCAGUUGAAAUCUGCCUGGAAACUGGCUAGAGCUCCAUCAGGACAUGACUGGAAGCUGGUUUGGGUUCCAUUGCCUCACUGUUCUUUUGUUCCUUUUUUCUCUGCUGUUGAGCCAUCAGUUUUGCUUUGUUUUAGUUUUUUCCAUUUUUUUCCCCAAAGGAAAUAUAGGCCUGUGCAGUUAAAGAAUAAAAGCUUAUAUUCAUGAA